rnacentral:sRNA from 1 species
ACUCAACACGAAUUCUUUAAAAAGGGUGAGUUGAAGUUGUAAAAGCGUGCCGUCUUUGAGCGGAUACUUGACCAGCUUGUUAGCCCUAAACUUGUUUUUAAGGAGUUU